rnacentral:rRNA from 1 species
UUGGUUAAGUUAGAAAGGGCGCACGGUGGAUGCCUUGGCACUAGGAGCCGAAGAAGGACGGGACUAACACCGAUAUGCUUUGGGGAGCUGUACGUAAGCGUUGAUCCAGAGAUUUCCGAAUGGGGGAACCCACUAUCUUUAGUCGGAUAGUAUCCUUACGUGAAUACAUAGCGUGAGGAAGGCAGACCCAGGGAACUGAAACAUCUAAGUACCUGGAGGAAGAGAAAGAAAAAUCGAUUUCCUGAGUAGCGGCGAGCGAAACGGAAAGAGCCCAAACCAAGAAGCUUGCUUCUUGGGGUUGUAGGACACUCUAUACGGAGUUACAAAAGAAAGUUAUAAAUGAAGCGGUCUGGAAAGGCCCGCCAAAGACGGUAACAGCCCGGUAGUUGAAAUAGCUUUCCCUCCAGAGUGGAUCCUGAGUACGGCGGAACACGUGAAAUUCCGUCGGAAUCCGGGAGGACCAUCUCCCAAGGCUAAAUACUCCCUAGUGACCGAUAGUGAACCAGUACCGUGAGGGAAAGGUGAAAAGCACCCCGGAAGGGGAGUGAAACAGUUCCUGAAACCGUGUGCCUACAAGUAGUUAGAGCCCGUUAAUGGGUGAUAGCGUGCCUUUUGUAGAAUGAACCGGCGAGUUACGAUUUGUUGCAAGGUUAAGCGGAAAAAGCGGAGCCGUAGCGAAAGCGAGUCUGAAUAGGGCGCAUAAGUAACAGGUCGUAGACCCGAAACCAGGUGAUCUACCCAUGUCCAGGAUGAAGGUAAGGUAAUACUUACUGGAGGUCCGAACCCACGCACGUUGAAAAGUGCGGGGAUGAGGUGUGGGUAGCGGAGAAAUUCCAAUCGAACUUGGAGAUAGCUGGUUCUCUCCGAAAUAGCUUUAGGGCUAGCCUCGAGGUAAAGAGUCAUGGAGGUAGAGCACUGUUUGGACUAGGGGCCCUUCUCGGGUUACCGAAUUCAGAUAAACUCCGAAUGCCAUGUACUUAUACUCGGGAGUCAGACUGCGAGUGAUAAGAUCCGUAGUCGAAAGGGAAACAGCCCAGACCACCAGUUAAGGUCCCCAAAUAUAUGUUAAGUGGAAAAGGAUGUGGGGUUGCUUAGACAACCAGGAUGUUGGCUUAGAAGCAGCCACCAUUGAAAGAGUGCGUAAUAGCUCACUGGUCGAGUGACCCCGCGCCGAAAAUGUACCGGGGCUAAACAUAUUACCGAAACUGUGGAUGAACCUCUUUGGAGGUUCGUGGUAGGAGAGCGUUCUAAGGGCGGUGAAGUCAGACCGGAAGGACUGGUGGAGCGCUUAGAAGUGAGAAUGCCGGUAUGAGUAGCGAAAGAAGGGUGAGAAUCCCUUCCACCGAAUAUCUAAGGUUUCCUGAGGAAGGCUCGUCCGCUCAGGGUUAGUCGGGACCUAAGCCGAGGCCGAUAGGCGUAGGCGAUGGACAACAGGUAGAGAUUCCUGUACCAGUGCUAAUUGUUUAACC